GAAACCGGUUUGUCCAUUUCACCACCAGACCAGGUCAAACGAACACGAAGAAUAAACCAGCAAAGCAAAACAAAACUGUUAGCCACAUUCAUGGCAGAAACCAACAUAGAGAGAGAGAGAGAGAGAGAGAGAGAGAAACCAAACCAUUGAUCCAGUUCUUGGGAGGUUGGAAAUGAUAAGAAGUCCUGUAAGGCUGCUUCACAGAGGUGGACUCGACAGUUUUCCGCAAAUUCCUGUAGACUCUGUGAGAGGCCCCAACAUGGAGAACACCAUGGCCAAGCAAGACAGAGAUGGC